CGCCCACAGAGAACGUUUCAUUCGCAAACGAAACGCAACAACAACAACAACCGACAGUUUUGAUCACGAAUGUCUGUUUUAAGUGGAAGAGACUAGAGGAAAAACCGGGAAUGGUCAUCGUUGAAGUGGGUCUGAUGUCGGGAUUCCAAGCAGACUCGAUAUUACUUCAACAAUUAUUUCCAAAGACAGAGGUCGGUCUGAUGCGAUAUGAAGUUAAACGUCGUGUCGUCACUUUCUAU